rnacentral:rRNA from 1 species
CUGUGACUCCUACGGGAGGCAGCAUGGGGGAAUAUUGCACAAUGGGGGAAACCCUGAUGCAGUCCAUGCCGCGUGUGUGAAGAAGGCCUUCGGGUUGUAAAGCACUUUCAGUAGGGAGGAAGGUAGUGUAGUUAACACCUGCAUUAUUUGACGUUACCUACAGAAGAAGCACCGGCUAACUCCGUGCCAGCAGCCGCGGUAAUACGGAGGGUGCGAGCGUUAAUCGGAAUUACUGGGCGUAAAGCGCAUGCAGGCGGCCUGUUAAGUCAGAUGUGAAAGCCCGGGGCUUAACCUCGGAAUUGCAUUUGAAACUGGCAGGCUAGAGUCUUGUAGAGGGGGUAGAAUUUCAGGUGUAGCGGUGAAAUGCGUAGAGAUCUGAAGGAAUACCAGUGGCGAAGGCGGCCCCCUGGACAAAGACUGACGCUCAGAUGCGAAAGCGUGGGGAGCAAACAGGAUUAGGUACCCCUGGGAG